GGUACCUUCUUUGCAUUUUGUUAAAUCUGCAGUGAAAUUGUUCUUAAAAUGAACAACAUGUGUUGGGUAAUCAUCGGAGACUGCUGUAACAAGAAAUAUAUGGGAGAAUCCAGAUAAAAUAGAGCCAGAC